UAAAAACACGAAUAUCCUGCGACAACUGAGACAAGAACAUGUGUACAAAAUAAUAUUUGUAUUGAUUUAUCAAGUGUAUACGUUAUAAUCUUUGUGGAUAUUCUUUUACAAAAAUAAAAGAAUUUUCUCUGAUUCUAUCUCCAAGAGUGUGUACGAAUCAUGGAUGCCAAGCACUUGAUCUUGAAUUGGAAUUUGGGACUUCGUCGAGGGUCGUGGCAGCUUGAUCUCAAUCACAUCAGGACCACGAGCAGUGUCACUUGAUGGAUAGUCUUCGGCUUUGGCGAUGAAGGAAUCGGCACAUGUUUGCUAUGCUUGGUAAUUCUCCACAAGCUUGAUGAAGAACUUGAGAGGCUAGGUGUUGUUUUGGAUAAAGAGCUUUCUGGUUUUCCAAUGUGUGUGCCUCUUUUUCUAAAGAUCCUUUCUCUCUAAUGAGAGCCUAAUAUUUAUAGGCC
rnacentral:lncRNA from 1 species